GGGGAUUUAGCUCAGCGGUAGAGCACUCGCCUAGGAAGCGCAAGGCCCUGGGUUCGGUCCCCAGCUCCG
rnacentral:tRNA from 1 species